AUCUGUCUCGAUUGUUUCCAG
rnacentral:miRNA from 1 species